AGCUCCAAUAGCGUAUAUUAAUGUUGUUGCAGUUAAAAAGCUCGUAGUUGGAUUUCUGUCGGGAGCGUCCGGUCCGGCCCUCACGGGCUGCGCACUGGUGACGUCUCUUGACAUCCUUGCGAAGAACGCGUUUGGCAUUAAGUUGUUGGGCGUCGGGACUCGCAUCGUUUACUGUGAAAAAAUUAGAGUGUUUAAAGCAGGCAAUUGCUGUGAAUACAUUAGCAUGGAAUAAUAAGAUAGGACUUUGGUGCUAUUUUGUUGGUUUGCACACCGAGGUAAUGAUUAACAGGGACAGUUGGGGGUAUUCGUAUUUCGUUGUCAGAGGUGAAAUUCUUGGAUUUAUGAAAGACGAACUACUGCGAAAGCAUUUACCAAGGAUGUUUUCA
rnacentral:rRNA from 1 species